rnacentral:rRNA from 1 species
CCGACGGUGAGAGAUGAAAGCUGGGGGCACGAACCGGAUUAGAUACCCGGGUAGUCCCAGCCGUAAACGAUGCUCGCUAGGUGUCAGGCAUGGCGCGACCGUGUCUGGUGCCGCAGGGAAGCCGUGAAGCGAGCCACCUGGGAAGUACGGCCGCAAGGCUGAAACUUAAAGGAAUUGGCGGGGGAGCACAACAACGGGUGGAGCCUGCGGUUUAAUUGGACUCAACGCCGGACAACUCACCGGGGGCGACAGCAAUAUGUAGGCCAAGCUGAAGACUUUGCCUGAAUCGCUGAGAGGAGGUGCAUGGCCGUCGCCAGUUCGUACUG